rnacentral:rRNA from 1 species
GGGUUGUGAGGUUAAGCGACUAAGCGUACACGGUGGAUGCCCUGGCAGUCAGAGGCGAUGAAGGGCGUGCUAAUCUGCGAUAAGCGCCGGUAAGGUGAUAUGAACCGUUAUAACCGGCGAUACCCGAAUGGGGAAACCCAGUGUGAUUCGUCACACUAUCAUUACGUGAAUACAUAGCGUAAUGAAGCGAACCGGGGGAACUGAAACAUCUAAGUACCCCGAGGAAAAGAAAUCAACCGAGAUUCCCCCAGUAGCGGCGAGCGAACGGGGAGGAGCCCAGAGCCUGAAUCAGCAUGUGUGUUAGUGGAAGCGUCUGGAAAGGCGCGCGAUACAGGGUGACAGCCCCGUACACAAAAGCGCAUGUGCUGUGAGCUCGAUGAGUAGGGCGGGACACGUGGUAUCCUGUCUGAAUAUGGGGGGACCAUCCUCCAAGGCUAAAUACUCCUGACUGACCGAUAGUGAACCAGUACCGUGAGGGAAAGGCGAAAAGAACCCCGGCGAGGGGAGUGAAAAAGAACCUGAAACCGUGUACGUACAAGCAGUGGGAGCACCCUUUGGGGUGUGACUGCGUACCUUUUGUAUAAUGGGUCAGCGACUUAUAUUCUGUAGCAAGGUUAACCGUAUAGGGGAGCCGAAGGGAAACCGAGUCUUAACCGGGCGUUAAGUUGCAGGGUAUAGACCCGAAACCCGGUGAUCUAGCCAUGGGCAGGUUGAAGGUUGGGUAACACUAACUGGAGGACCGAACCGACUAAUGUUGAAAAAUUAGCGGAUGACCUGUGGCUGGGGGUGAAAGGCCAAUCAAACCGGGAGAUAGCUGGUUCUCCCCGAAAGCUAUUUAGGUAGCGCCUCGUGAAUUCAUCUCCGGGGGUAGAGCACUGUUUCGGCUAGGGGGCCAUCCCGGCUUACCAACCCGAUGCAAACUGCGAAUACCGGAGAAUGUUAUCACGGGAGACACACGGCGGGUGCUAACGUCCGUCGUGAAGAGGGAAACAACCCAGACCGCCAGCUAAGGUCCCAAAGUCAUGGUUAAGUGGGAAACGAUGUGGGAAGGCCCAGACAGCCAGGAUGUUGGCUUAGAAGCAGCCAUCAUUUAAAGAAAGCGUAAUAGCUCACUGGUCGAGUCGGCCUGCGCGGAAGAUGUAACGGGGCUAAACCAUGCACCGAAGCUGCGGCAGCGA